rnacentral:lncRNA from 1 species
AUGCUCAAAAUUCUCCAAGCCAGGCUUCAGCAAUACGUGAACCGUGAACUUCCUGAUGUUCAAGCUGGGUUUAGAAAAGGCAGAGGAACCAGAGAUCAAAUUGCCAACAUCUGCUGGAUCAUGGAAAAAGGAACAGAGUUCCAGAAAAGCAUCUAUUUCUGCUUUAUUGACUAUGCCAAAGCCUUAGACUAUGUGGAUCACAAUAAACUGUGGAAAAUUCUGAAAGAGAUGGGAAUACCAGACCACCUGACCUGCCUCUUGAGAAAUCUGUAUGCAGGUCAGGAAACCACAGUUAGAACUGGACAUGGAACAACAGACUGGUUCCAAAUAGGAAAAGGACUAUGUCAAGGCUGUAUAUUGUCACCCUGCUUACUUAACUUAUAUGCAGAGUACAUCAUGAGAAAUGCUGGGCUGGAGGAAGCACAAGCUAGAAUCAAGAUUGCCGGGAGAAAUAUCAAUAACCUCAGAUAUGCAGAUGACACCACCCUGAUGGCAGAAAGUGAAGAAGAACUAACAAGCCUCUUGAUGAAAGUAAAAGAGGAGAGUGAAAAAGUUGGCUUAAAGCUCAACAUUCAGAAAACAAAGAUCAUGGCAUCCGAUCCCAUCACUUCAUGGGAAAUAGAUGGAGAAACAGUGGAAACAGUCUCAGACUUUAGUUUUUUGGGCUCCAAAAUCACUGCAGAUGGUGAUUGCAGCCAUGAAAUUAAAAGACACUUUCUCCUUGGAAGAAAAGUUAUGACAAACCUAGAGAGCAUAUUCAAAAGCAGAGACAUUACUUUGCUGACUAAGGUCCGUCUAGUCAAGGCUAUGGUUUUUCCAGUAGUCAUGUAUGGAUGUGAGAGUUGGACUGUGAAGAAGGCUGAGCACCAAAGAAUUGAUGCGUUUGAACUGUGGUGUUGGAGAAGACUCUUGAGAGUCCCUUGGACUGCAAGGAGAUCCAACCAGUCCAUUCUGAAGGAGAUCAACUCUGGGAUUUCUUUGGAAGGAAUGAUGCUAAAGCUGAAACUCCAGUACUUUGGCCACCUCAUGCGAAGAGUUGACUCAUUGGAAAAGACUUUGAUGCUGGGAGGGAUUGGGGGCAGGAGAAGAAGGGGACGACCGAGGAUGAGAUGGCUGGAUGGCAUCACUGACUCAAUGGACGCGAGUCUGAGUGAACUCCUGGAGUUGGUGAUGGACAGGGAGGCUUGGCAUGCUGCGAUUCAUGGGGUCGCAAAGAGUCGGACAUGA